CUCGUAGGCGGCCUGCCAAGUCUCACGUGAAAGACCAGGGCUCAACCCUGGGAACGCGAGAGAAACUGGCAAGCUGGAAUCUUGGAGGGGGUACUGGAAUUCCUGGUGUAGGGGUGAAAUCUGUUGAUAUCAGGAAGAACACCGGAGGCGAAGGCGAGUACCUGGCCAAAGAUUGACGCUGAUGAGCGAAAGCGUAGGGUGCGAACAGGAUUAGAUACCCUGGUAGUCC
rnacentral:rRNA from 1 species